GACGAACGCUGGCGGCGUGCUUAACACAUGCAAGUCGAACGGUGAUGCUCCAGCUUGCUGGAGUGGAUCAGUGGCGAACGGGUGAGUAACACGUGAGCAACCUGCCCCAGACUCUGGAAUAAGCGCUGGAAACGGCGUCUAAUACUGGAUACGAAACUGGCCCGCAUGGGCAUGGUUUGGAAAGUUUUUCGGUUUGGGAUGGGCUCGCGGCCUAUCAGCUUGUUGGUGAGAUAAUGGCUCACCAAGGCGACGACGGGUAGCCGGCCUGAGAGGGCGACCGGCCACACUGGGACUGAGACACGGCCCAGACUCCUACGGGAGGCAGCAGUGGGGAAUAUUGCACAAUGGGCGAAAGCCUGAUGCAGCGACGCCGCGUGAGGGAUGACGGCCUUCGGGUUGUAAACCUCUUUCAGCAGGGAAGAAGCGAAAGUGACGGUACCUGCAGAAGAAGCACCGGCUAACUACGUG
rnacentral:rRNA from 1 species